rnacentral:tRNA from 2 species
AGGCGCGUGGCUCAGUGGUAGAGCGCUUCCUUGACGCGGAAGAGGCCGUGGGUUCGAUUCCCUCCGCGCCUACCA